AGUUUUAAUAGUUUAAUUUAAAAAUUUUGGUUUUGUAAACCAAAGAUGAAUUUCCAUCUUAAAAC
rnacentral:tRNA from 1 species